rnacentral:rRNA from 1 species
CGCAUUAAGCACUCCGCCUGGGGAGUACGACCGCAAGGUUGAAACUCAAAGGAAUUGACGGGGGCNCGCACAAGCGGUGGAGCAUGUGGUUUAAUUNGAAGCAACGCGAAGAACCUUANCAGGUCNNGACAUCCCUCUGACCGCUCUAGAGANANANNUUUCCUUCGGGACAGAGNNGACAGGUGGUGCAUGGUUGUCGUCAGCUNGUGUCGUGAGAUGUUGGGUUAAGUCCCGCAACGAGCGCAACCCCUAUUGUUAGUUGCCAUCAUUCAGUUGGGCANUCUAGCGAGACUGCCGGUAAUAAACCGGAGGAAGGUGGGGANGACGUCAAAUCAUCAUGCCCCUUAUGACNUGGGNUACACACGUGNUNCAAUG